CGUACACUCCUACGGGAGGCAGCAGUGGGGAAUAUUGCACAAUGGGCGCAAGCCUGAUGCAGCCAUGCCGCGUGUAUGAAGAAGGCCUUCGGGUUGUAAAGUACUUUCAGCGGGGAGGAAGGCGAUAAGGUUAAUAACCUUGUCGAUUGACGUUACCCGCAGAAGAAGCACCGGCUAACUCCGUGCCAGCAGCCGCGGUAAUACGGAGGGUGCAAGCGUUAAUCGGAAUUACUGGGCGUAAAGCGCACGCAGGCGGUCUGUCAAGUCGGAUGUGAAAUCCCCGGGCUCAACCUGGGAACUGCAUUCGAAACUGGCAGGCUAGAGUCUUGUAGAGGGGGGUAGAAUUCCAGGUGUAGCGGUGAAAUGCGUAGAGAUCUGGAGGAAUACCGGUGGCGAAGGCGGCCCCCUGGACAAAGACUGACGCUCAGGUGCGAAAGCGUGGGGAGCAAACAGGAUUAGAAACCCUUGUAGUCCCA
rnacentral:rRNA from 1 species